AAAUAAAUGCAAGAUUGAUGGAUGAGGAAAAUUAAAGAGAAAGGAGGACAGAGGAGGUGGGAAACUAAAACAGGAGGUAGGACAGAUUAGAAAGGCUCAAGUGAGGGAAGCUCUGUGGAGGCUGUAGAGUGGAAAGUGUGUUGGUCCUGAUAACAAUGGUGUAGGCAUGGAAGUGCCUCGGGGAGAUGGCAGUGGAGUUUUUAACAAUGUUGUUCAACAGGGUCUUAAGAGAAUGUGAAGCUGCAUGAGUAGUGGAGGAAAAGUGUACUUGUGCCAAUUUUUAAGUACAAGCGUGAUGUGCAAAGUGGUAGUGACUACAGAGGAAGAAAGUUGAUGAGCCAUACAAUGAAAACUUUGGAAAAGAGUAGUGGAGGCCAGGUUGAGACAAGAAGUGGAGAUUUUCCCGUAAAAUUAUGGUUGCAGGCGGCACGGUGGCCGACUGGUUAGAGCGUCAGCCUCAGUUCUGAGGACCCGGUUUCAAUCCCCGGCCCCGCCUGUGCGGAGUUUGCACGUUUUCCCCUCCGUGCCUGCGUGGGUUUUCUCCGGGCACUCCGGUUUCCUCCCACAUCCCAAAAACAUGCAUUAAUUGGAGACUCUAAAUUGCCCGUAGGCAUGACUGUGAGUGCGAAUGGUUGUUUGUUUCUAUGUGCCCUGCGAUUGGCUGGCAACCAGUUCAGGGUGUACCCCGCCUCCUGCCCGAUGACAGCUGGGAUAGGCUCAGAAAAUGGAUGGAUGGAUGGAGAAAUGACAGAUUAGGUUGGACUAAACUGAAAGGUUUUGGAGACAAAACAUUAGAGGCUAGAUUGGCAUUGUGUUAACUUGGCAUAGGAAAAGGUAAAUAUGUUAUACGUUUCAACACUUUAAUAUUGUACAUUGUAUAAAUAACAGGUUUACAGAAGAUGGUCCCAUUAUCACUAUAAAACAUGGAACCUUCGCUUUUGUGAGGUGGUCUCUAUUCAGAAGUGUGGUUUGUUUGUUGUCCUCUUUCAUCAGGCAGCAUGGAUUAUGAAAGUAGCCCACACAGUCCAGAAGAAGAGCCCCAUAAGUGUGAUCAGAAGUCAACAAGUCAGAAGAGUUUCAGGAGGCUCCACAGGCUCGCAAAGUACUUUGUGAGAUUGCUGCAAGAGGCUGAAGACGGCUGUCAGACUGCCGGAGGUGGGACAAAUGGAUGUCCAGAACAUCAGAGUAUCAGCGCCACCUGAAAAGCAUCAACGGGCCCAUUGAUGUUGUAUUUCUUAACAAAAGCUCCAUCACCUCAGUCCCUGUCAUGCUGCCCUUCCCACACCACAUGUUGACAUUUUACACAGAGCCAAGUACUCCACUUCAGGUCGGACAAAAUACAUAUUGCACACAUGCUCUUCGGCCAUAUGAUAUCUUCCCUCUUAUUUUCAGUGCAAGGUGUAUCAAAAGCAGCAGUCGA